rnacentral:tRNA from 1 species
AGGCAGUUAGUCCAAAGAAAAGACCUUUGAUUUCGGCUCAUAUAACCGCGGUUUAAGUCCGCGACUGCCUU